GCCGCCUUGGACCGGCGAAGGUCCGAUGCCUCUGCCGCUGGUUUCGCUGAGGUACCGCUGCCCUAUUCCCACUCUUCCCUCUCUGAAAAUUGCAUCGCAUCUCUCUCUCUCUUUCUCUCUCUCUUCGUAAAUCUCUGCUCCUCUCCAUCACUGCAAAUCUCCUCAUGUUUGAAUUUUGAUGAAGCUUUGUUCUAGAAUGAAUUUUGAAUUUAGGGAUGAAUUUUGAUGCCGAUGAGAAUGAUUGUCGAUGAGAAGAAUGAUUGGAAUGAAUUACUGCAGAUUGGAUAAAUUUCUCCCUAAUUCAAUUGAACGUAAUCGAAAAAACAUAUAAGCAACGAAGAAAUUGAUGAAAAUCGCGCAAUUUUGUACAAAUGUUCUUGAAUUCACAACCAGGUUUAUGAAUUCACAACUGAAUUAUCAGCGUUGGUUGUGAAUUCACA
rnacentral:lncRNA from 1 species